GCGGGUAUGGUUUAAUGGUAAAAUUCUUCCUUGCCAAGGAAGAGAUGCGGGUUCGAUUCCCGCUACCCGCC
rnacentral:tRNA from 3 species